UACUGUUCAAGAAAACGUGAGGAACUUGAACCUGCGUGACUGGGAAAUGGUUUGGUCCUCCUAAAUAAUAGUCAUUUUCUGUUUUCUUGGGACGAAUGGAAAUGGACAGGGACAGAACUGAAAGAAAAGAUUCAGGGACACAAAAGCUAUUAACAAGUGCUCUGGAGGAAAGCACCACUACUGAACUGGGACUACUGGAAAUUACACUGUAUGAAGUCAGACUCGCGCCCUACAAUAAUACUGGGUCAGGGGUUCAGCUUCAUGGGCAAGAUCGUGCCAUGUGCUUGGAAAUGCUUUCAGAAUGUCAAACAGAGAUUUCUUCUGACCUAAAGCACGUGUGCUAUGACUGAAAUAACUAAAUUGGUAAGUAUUACUUUAU
rnacentral:lncRNA from 1 species